rnacentral:rRNA from 1 species
CCUACGGGGGGCAGCAGUGAGGAAUAUUGGUCAAUGGGCGUAAGCCUGAACCAGCCAAGUCGCGUGAGGGAUGAAGGUUCUAUGGAUCGUAAACUUCUUUUAUAAGGGAAUAAAGUGUGGGACGUGUCCUAUUUUGUAUGUACCUUAUGAAUAAGGAUCGGCUAACUCCGUGCCAGCAGCCGCGGUAAUACGGAGGAUCCGAGCGUUAUCCGGAUUUAUUGGGUUUAAAGGGUGCGUAGGUGGACUUUUAAGUCAGUGGUGAAAGUUUGUGGCUCAACCAUAGAAUUGCCGUUGAAACUGGGGGGCUUGAGUAUGGUUGAGGCAGGCGGAAUUCGUGGUGUAGCGGUGAAAUGCUUAGAUAUCACGCAGAACCCCGAUUGCGAAGGCAGCCUGCCGAGCCAUGACUGACACUGAUGCACGAAAGCGUGGGGAUCAAACAGGAUUAGAUACCCGAGUAGUC